rnacentral:rRNA from 1 species
AAAUUGAAGAGUUUGAUCAUGGCUCAGAUUGAACGCUGGCGGCAGGCCUAACACAUGCAAGUCGAACGGUAACAGGAAGCAGCUUGCUGCUUUGCUGACGAGUGGCGGACGGGUGAGUAAUGUCUGGGAAACUGCCUGAUGGAGGGGGAUAACUACUGGAAACGGUGGCUAAUACCGCAUAACGUCGCAAGACCAAAGAGGGGGACCUUCGGGCCUCUUGCCAUCAGAUGUGCCCAGAUGGGAUUAGCUUGUUGGUGAGGUAACGGCUCACCAAGGCGACGAUCCCUAGCUGGUCUGAGAGGAUGACCAGCCACACUGGAACUGAGACACGGUCCAGACUCCUACGGGAGGCAGCAGUGGGGAAUAUUGCACAAUGGGCGCAAGCCUGAUGCAGCCAUGCCGCGUGUAUGAAGAAGGCCUUCGGGUUGUAAAGUACUUUCAGCGGGGAGGAAGGUGUUGUGGUUAAUAACCGCAGCAAUUGACGUUACCCGCAGAAGAAGCACCGGCUAACUCCGUGCCAGCAGCCGCGGUAAUACGGAGGGUGCAAGCGUUAAUCGGAAUUACUGGGCGUAAAGCGCACGCAGGCGGUCUGUCAAGUCGGAUGUGAAAUCCCCGGGCUCAACCUGGGAACUGCAUUCGAAACUGGCAGGCUUGAGUCUUGUAGAGGGGGGUAGAAUUCCAGGUGUAGCGGUGAAAUGCGUAGAGAUCUGGAGGAAUACCGGUGGCGAAGGCGGCCCCCUGGACAAAGACUGACGCUCAGGUGCGAAAGCGUGGGGAGCAAACAGGAUUAGAUACCCUGGUAGUCCACGCCGUAAACGAUGUCUACUUGGAGGUUGUGCCCUUGAGGCGUGGCUUCCGGAGCUAACGCGUUAAGUAGACCGCCUGGGGAGUACGGCCGCAAGGUUAAAACUCAAAUGAAUUGACGGGGGCCCGCACAAGCGGUGGAGCAUGUGGUUUAAUUCGAUGCAACGCGAAGAACCUUACCUGGUCUUGACAUCCACAGAAGAAUCCAGAGAUGGAUUUGUGCCUUCGGGAACUGUGAGACAGGUGCUGCAUGGCUGUCGUCAGCUCGUGUUGUGAAAUGUUGGGUUAAGUCCCGCAACGAGCGCAACCCUUAUCCUUUGUUGCCAGCGGUUAGGUCGGGAACUCAAAGGAGACUGCCAGUGAUAAACUGGAGGAAGGUGGGGAUGACGU